rnacentral:lncRNA from 1 species
CUUUGCCAGCUAGUUUCCUCACAUGCAAAAUGGAUCUAUCAUCUAUCCUGUAGCGUUAAUAGAAAGAUUUAGCGCUGGAUGCCUAAGUACAAAGUGAAUCCUCAAUACAUACUAACUACUGUAUUUAAAAAAACAGAUCUUCAGCUUAAUUAAAUGGAGCUUCAUGAAACAAGAGAUAAAUCUUUAAGUGUGCCCACAGGAAAUUUUGGAUUUGCAUUUGAAGAAAGGUGAGCAAAAGCAAGUCUACAAAACAACGAGCUACAUAUCCCUCAUCCCACCCCGACUCCCUGCCACCAAAUUAAUACCACCUAAUGAAUUACAGGCCCAUGUACCUGAGGAUGUAAAGGUGAAUGGAAUGAAAGGCAAGGGAAUAUUUAGAAUGAGAAAUACCAAAGCAGCAUGGCAUCCACCAGAGGUAGAAUAGAUCUUAAAGAGAAAAGAACCUAGUUUUAAGAAAUGCAGAAUAAAACACAUAAUUUUAACAAUUAAAUGUAUCAACUGGCUGCGCACAGUGGCUUAUGCCUACAAUACCAGCGCUUUGGGAGGAUGAGGUGGGAGAACUGCUUGAAAUCAGGAGGGAGGGAUCUGGUAGGAGGUAACUGAAUCAUGGGGGCAGUUAACGCUAUGCUGCUGUUCUCUUGAUAGUGAGUUCUAACGAGAUCUGAUGGUUUCAUAAGGGGCUUUUCCCCCUUUUGCUUGGCACUUCCUCCUGCCAUCAUGUGAAGAAGGACGUGUUUACUCCCCCUUCGCCAUGAUUGAAUGAUGGAACAAAAAGCAUUCCUAAUCUCUUGGCGUUAAUGCCAUUACUCACUCCAACCUCACUGCUUGUAGAAAGUGGUGUAAUGGUAGAAAUGAGAGAAAAAACGUGGUGAAAUAAGAGAAGGAAGCUCUUCAAUGGCUGGAGUUAAAGGCUGAGAGAGAUAUGUUCCCUGAAAUCCUCUACUACAUAUCCAGAGAAAACAGAAGGAAGCGCCUCACCACACUACAGAUGAGUAACUAAUGAUUUCCUUUCCAUUGCUGACCUGGGAAAGGGUGAGUGGGAGAGAUGGCUUUCUAGUUUCCUGGCUUCUCAGCUAGACAGCCUAGACAUGGCUGUGUUAUAUAACACAGAUUAGAGUGCUAAAAGUUGGAAUCAUCUUCCAAUUAGGAGAUAGUAUAUGUCUUAUUAAAUAUCUGUUAUGUACUGCUGCUUCCAUUAUCUCAUUUAAACUUCAAAAUAGCCCUGCAAAGAAGGUAUUGUUAGUGGUCAAGACCUAUGUUCCUGGCUUUUCUUCUAUUUUAAUAGUUUCUCUUUCUCAAUCUUUUGCUGGCUGGGUCCUUAUUCUUCAUGAAACCUUAAUCAGGAAUGCCAAAGGAUUCAGCCCUAAGACCUCUUCUUUCUUCCUAUACUAUUCAAAGAUGUCCUUAAGAGAUCCACUGAAUCCUAGAUUCACAUAUACAUCUAUCUACUUGACAUUUCCAUUUGGAUAGACAGGCUGUUGCUACCUACUUAUAUCCCUUUGUUAUUCUCCUGCUUAAGUGGUUUCCAUCACAAUUAAAAUCCAAACUUUUUGCCUAUGUCCCUACGAAAUCUAGUUGUUGCCCCACUAGAUUUCCAAUCUCACUCCUAUCACUCAUCCCCUUUACUCAUUAAACUAGAACCACAGUAGACUUUCUGUUCCUCAAAUAUUUCAAACUUAUUUCUACCCUAGACUUUCACAUUUGUCUGUUCUAUUUCCUUUUGUCUCUAGUUCUUCAAGUGGAUGGUUCCUUUCUGUCAAUCAAGUCUCAGUUAAGACAGCACCCCAACUCCAUGGUGACAGAAGCUCCUGUGUUUAGGAUCCUUCUAGACCUCACCCCAUGUAUCUCUUCAUUUGGCUGUUGACUUGUAACCUUUAACAAAUUUUUUGUAAUAAACUG